CGCACGCGCGCCGUUUCAGCUUCCCGGCCGAAAUCCGGCCACCGAUUGGGCCGGGUCUUGUGUCAAACACCAUCUACACCUCGAGAGCUUUCCAUAGACACCAAGAACACCAAAAUCCAUCCAGCGGUUUGUCCAAUUUUUGUCCGAAAAGUUUUAGCCCAUUUCAACUUUUUGGCUAGAUUUCUCGCAAACCGUGAACUCCAUGAGAAAAUCGAGAGUACCAGAGCGCUCCACUCGUCGAGAGUUUCGCGGCAAUAUAAAUUUUAAAAUUUUCUGAAUCCGUUUUUCGGUGGGUCCCACGGAACUUCGUAGUGUUUUUUCGAGUAUUAAAUGAGCUUAGAAAAUUCCGUAAAAAUUAUAUACUAACCCCCGUGUUGUAGGCUUCGUGUAGGUACCUUCAAUUCGCGGGAAUUCGACAGUUGUCCGGGUCUGUGAAUUUCCGGCCAGACAGACCGGCUACUGAAAAAGUCUCCGAAUUGGAUCGAGAUUUUGGCUAUCCCACCGUUGUCAGAUACCUCGAGCGCGUUCCCAAGAUCGGAAUCGGCAUAGGUAAACCUGAACCUUGCUUUUUCAUAAUUUUCUAGUGCUUAAAUUGGAUUAAAAAUCCAUAAAAUAUUCGUGGUAGCUCAGAAAAUUAUGAUUCUUUUUGCGUUAGUCUAGUAAUAUUGCUAAGGACUGCGGGGAAAAGUUUUAGAAUUUUUAGAGCUUAUUUAGGUAGUUUUUGCAAAAAGGAUCAAUUAUAAGGACUAAACUGUAAAUUUACAUAUUGUGAUUGAUGACUGUUUGGAUGGACCCAGGAGAGGCUGUGUGAUGUGAUUGAAUUGUGAGUGUAUGAUUUGUGGAUAUAGAAGUAUGUUUUAAACCCAUUUGCAGGUUGGGUAGGUCUUAGGUAUAGGGGAGACUCUGCCGGAUUUUCGGCACGACUUAGGACGUCUUUGGUCUUUUUCUUAGUUUGUAUGGAGUCAAAUUUAUUAAAUGAUUGUAAUAAAAUUGUCAGGUGAGCCGGGACAGCCUUCUUCCUCCGCCUAGCCGCCACAGUGACUGCUGUCAAGUCUGCUACAGGAGGAUUUUGUUGUGGUUAACCUGCUUUUCUCCUUCGCAGGUUGUUUAUUAAUGUUUGUGUAAUUCUAUUAACUCCUAGAAUUUUCGUAUGCGUUAGAAAUAUUUAUUUGAUUUGGGUCUGUAAUAUAAAUUGUCAUGUUGGACCUGUAAACUAAUUAUAUACAUGUUUGUUGGAUUGGAUGAGGGAGCUGAGCUCCCAUUUACUUUUUAUGUUAUUAUGAGUAUGUGGAGGGUGAGCUGAGCUCCCCAAUUGAUUAUA